rnacentral:lncRNA from 1 species
GGUUAAUUAAGGAUGGAACUGAUUAUUUUUUGACAUAGAAUAAAUAUAAGAAAAUUGUUAAGUUAAUGAUCUAAUUGAUACUUUUUUUGUAAAAUGUAAAAAUUUAUUACAUAGUGUCACACUCCCUUUUUCAUACUCCAAAAAGAUUCGUUUUAAGUUCCAAAGAGUUUUUAAUGUUAAAGUGACAAAAUGAAGAAUUGUUUCGAAAAGGACCUUUUAUAUUCAAAACUCACAGUCGCCACUUGGCAUAAAUCCGGUGUACGAAGUCACCUUUUGGAAAAUCCUUUUUUAAAACGGUUUGACUCUUUUAAAACUGGUUUGCGAACAGAGAUUCUGGCUAAGGAACUCUGUUGACCGAGGGGAAGGUUUUAGGCACCCUUCGAUCCCGUGGUUCGACCACGGUCGCUUGGUAGAGAGUAUCGGCUAAUUUUAAACAAUACGAAUGUAUAAACCACACAAACAAACAUCAAACAAAUCAAACAAAAUUCAAAAUCCAAAAUAAUGUCCAGUCCGAGUUAUACAAUCCCGAAAAAUAGAAAAGUACGAAAAAAAAUAUAAAUCCUAUUCUAAACUACUCCUAGACUAAGCUCCACUGCCUCACCCGAUGCCUCGGGCCUUCAUUGUGCGCCGUCUUCUAGUACAACUUUCUCGGGGCAUUCCCCAGAUAAAAUGAUACAGAUACUUCGGGGCAUUCCCCGGCCAAAUGAGUACAAUUGAAUCGAAUACGAUAAAACAAAACUAUCUCAACACAGAUCUCAAACAUUCAAUCAACCCACAAUCUCUAGAUUUGCCUACCCGACCUACGUCUUGCCUAUUCUAAUCGGAGUAUCUUGAUACUACCAAAUUCAAUUAACGUUCAAUUCAAGCCAAACGACUAAUGAAUCAAACUAAUCAAAAGUCACCAAUUAUAUCAAGUUUUCAAUUCCCGCCCUACUUAUUCCAAAUGACUUCAAAUAUUUCAAUUACUUCAUUCAUGUGAAUCAAUUAAUCAAUAUCAACACAGUAAUUACAAUUGCUCAAACACAAUAUCGAAACAUAUCCCCACAUCACAAUCAUCAACCAAACACAAUACUCAACUCCAACACAUCAAAUAUAGUAAAUAUUAAAUAAAAGAGGAGGAAUAAAAUUGGACCUUUAGUGUUUAUUUGACGAUUUACAAAGAGAAAUAAGAGUCGCUCCUAUAACCUCGAAGAACACCAAUAGAACCUCUACUCUUCAAAUCACACGAAUGACAUUUCCAGAAUAACGAUGACCCCAAUUUCUAUUGGAACAGAACAAAUUCCCAAACAGAGUUGAUGAACAACAAAAUCGGGAUUACGAAGUCUAGCCCGAACCAACGAUACCCACCAAGAGCAAUGAAUUCCCAAAACCCAUUUCCGGCGACGGAACACAAAACUCAGAAGAACCCCAGAACCUCGAUACGCAACAGAACCAAAAGAAUAAGAUAACUUGAGCUAUGGUUAGCUCAAAUGAACAAGAACGGAUAAGAACCACUCGAAUUCCGGCGCUCUUAGCCUUUUUCGGUGGAAUCUUGACUAAAACCCCAAGAAAACUAAGAAAAACUUUGUGGUAUUACUGGACUAGGACGGGAUUCGAACUCUUAGUACCUGAAUAUGACUGAAAUAAUAAUUGAUUCCAGCGAAGGAUUCGCCGGAAAAGGCUUAGAUCUAGCCUAUUAUCGUCGGAACAGUGACCCAAACGAAAAACGGUGCUACUUUCUCGAUCUCCUGAUUUUUCUUUUUGUUUUUCCUUUCUCCCUCGAUUUUUCUUUAAUUGCGAUCUCUCUCUCAUCUCCCUCCUCUAUAUCUAUCAGUGUGUUUCUGUGUAGGGGUUUUGGAGAAGAAGGUUUGUGUGUUUUGGUGAGAGUAAAAAAUGGAAUGUGUUGGUUUCCUUUGAAGAAGAAAGCCAAGAAGAAAAAAUGUUUCUCCCCUCCCCCCACUUUCUUGUUUCCUCUCUGUAUAUAUAUUAUGCCCAAAAGUGGAAAGAAAUAUGAUGAAGAGGGGUCCUGCGGGUAGGGGGUGGGGUAUGAGUAUAUUGAGCUUUCUAGAAGGUUCUUUUUUUGUUGUAUGUGUAUUAUUAAAGCCAAAAUUUAGUGGGCCCCAUUUGUUUGUUGAUAAAUUGAAAUGUAGUGUAGAUGACUAUGAAAUGGAGAAAAAAAUGGGGGGAUCACAUGAGGUGUUCAAAUGAAAAUGGAGUGAAUUCUUAUUUUACUAUGGGGCCUACCUAUUUUUGUUUCACUCCCUUUUUGUUCCCUUUUUCUGUUAGUGAUAAUUAAAUGUGAAGGGAAGGGGUGGCGUAUAGGGUAGGUGGGGUAGUAGGUGAGGUGUAAAGGGGGUUAGGAUAGGAUAAAAUUUGUUAGGGAGUUAUUAUUUGUCUUUUAAUGGGGGUAUAAUCACAUGGUGAGGGUACAUGGUAGGAUAAAAUAAAAAUGAGUAAAAGUGAAUAAAAUUAAACUUUAGGAGGACAAAAUUAUGUGUCUACAUCAUUCCCCUUUUGGAUGUAAACACAUGGUGUUUUCAUACAAAGCAGUAGACAACGAGACAGAAUUUUGCCCUAACCUUUAUUCAAAAGCACGGAGCAAGAGAAAGGAGGAAAAACAGGUCUUAACUUAGGACAUCCUACCUACCCAAGUUAUGAGAGAAUCGAGUGACAAGUAUCUCAAAAGAUUGGAAGGAGAUGGACUGUACCGAGUUGUAGAGUCGAGUGAGGUUCUAUUGGUUCCGGUCCGCGGCUCUGUCAUUACAUCAAAAUAAAAAUUGCAAGUCAAAACAUAAAUGAAAUUACAAAAUCCUAUCUAUACAGCUUCUGUUGGCUCUUGAAUCAACUUUUAUCACCCUAUUCUUCAGGCGGGCUCCUGACUUGCAAUUUCUUUCAACUUGUUGCUUGACUUUCAAUUGCUUUGCUUUGUUGCUUGACUUUUCAGUUAUUUGCCCUGUGCUUCGGGCGGGCUUCUGACUUGCAAUUUCAUCACUUUGUUGCUUGACUUUUCAUUUCUUCACUCUAUUCUACAGACGGGCUCCUGACUUGCUAUUUCAUCACUUUGUUGCUUGACUUUUCAUUUCUUCACUCUGUUCUCCAGGCGGGAUCCUGACUUGCUAUUUCAUCAUCUUGUUCUUCAGGCGGGCUCCUGAAACCAGAAUUAAAACUAGAACAAACAUUAUCCCAAACAAAAAUUAUAGUAAAGUAGCAUUUCAUUUUUGAAAGCGUGGUCCCAUUUUUCAGGAGGAUCCUGAAUAGAAGGUAAAGUCUCAUUUUUCAGAAGGGUCCUGAACAGAAAGUAAAAUCCCAUUUUUUAGGAGGCUCCUGAACAGAAAGUAAAAUCUCAUUUUUCAGGAGGCUCCUGAACAGAAAGUAAAAUCUUAUUUUUCAAGAGGGUCCUGAACAGAAAGUAAAAUCUCAUUUUUUAGGAGGGUCCAGAACAGAAAGUAAAGUCCUAUUUUUUAGGAGGGUCCUGAACAGAAAGUAAAGUCCCAUUUUUUAGGAGGGUCCUGAACAUAAAGUAAAAUCCCACGGAUGUGCAUUUCCAAUGGUAGCUGAGUUAAGUGAAGUGAAUUUGCCCCUGUUUCAUCAAAGACAAUUUUGUUAGUUAAAAAACUUAGUGAUGGUUUGCAGCAUUUGGCUUUCCAGACAUCUGCUCCAGCACUUGUUCCUUUCAUCUUUGUUUCAUAUUGUUGACAUUUUCCCCUGUCUUGCCGCUUCAUCAACCUGGAUCCAGAUCGAGGGAAAUGAGUUCUGACUCGGACAAUGAAUUUUCAUUUUACCAUGUCUCUGAGAUGCACCCUUUUAAAAAUCUGAAUACUCUUACGAAUUCGGUAGCCUGUCGGUUGAUAGACUUCCUUUGCUUUGUGUUGAAUUACGAUCAAAUUUCUUUCAUAUGCUAGUCCUUGGCUUUUCUCAUACAAUUGGAAAGACUGAUAGCAAGUUUUGAAAUCUUUUCUCGCUUGUUUUGACACAGACUUGACUUAAAAUGUAAAGAAAUGAUGAUGACUUUUAUUUUGAUAAAUGACAUAAAAAAAACAAAAUAUGAAUAGGUAAAUGGAAGAAAAGGGCAACGUCCCUUAUUCAAAAUAAAACUUAUCUGAAUACGGCAACCAACUCUAAUGAGUAUGACAUGCAUUUUGGAUUAAGCUGCUUGAUCUUCCUAUCCAAACUUCCCAUUUGUUGUUGAGUUCAUGCCUUUGCCGCUGAGCCGCUUCUUCAAAUUCAUUGGACCCAUAUAUCUCAUUCAAUUGAUGACAUCUUAAAAGACUUUCGCCAACAAAUCUCUUUCUUUUCACUUUUCACUUUUCACUUUUCUUUGAACUCGCCAUCGCCUUACGGUGCCCGUGAGGGUUUUCACCAAUAAGACUCUCUCAUUUUUAUUUCUCUCCACUCACCAUCGCCAUAUGGUGCCCGUGAGGGUUUUCACCAAUAAGACUCUCUUAUUUUCAUUUCUCUCAACUCACCAUCGCCUUAUGAUACCCGCGAGAGUUUUCACCAAUAAGACUCUCUCUUUUUCAUUUCUCUAAACUCACCAUCACUUUAUGGUGCCCACAAGGUUUUUCACCAAUAAGACUCUCUCAUUUUUGUAUUUCUUUCCUGAUUUCUUAUGCUGAGGAAGACGAGUAGUACCCAACAAUGUAUCAUCAUAUCCAUUGCAUGCCUAGCCUUAACAUUAUCAAGAAUUGAUCUAAAGGACUUUCUUUGGUUGUAACUUGGCUUUUGGAUAAUGUUAGAAAGGGGAUGACAAAAGGCUUAAACGACACUUGAAAUGAGGGAGGGCUUACAACUUUUGGAAUCGACUCAAACAAUGCAUUAACUCAUGCCCCAGUUUUUUGACUGGGUGACUCUAAAAUCUUCAUUUGGUUGGACCGAGCCCGAAAUAGGGCAGCCUACGUAUCUCACUUUUGAGAGAGGAGAAUCAGGUCGCACGUAGUUCCAUCAGCUUGUUCUUUGUUUUGAUUUAAUUUAUUUCUUUUAUUUUCAAACUUUUUCUUUUAUUCUUAUUUUCUUGACAUUUAUAUUUGACUCUAUUUUGAUUCCAAAAGAGGGAUAUGAAAGAAAAAUAAAACGAAGCUCAAACGGGUAAACAAAGGAUGACACAAUAUUUGGAUAGAAUAAGAAAAUGCCUGCAUCAUAUCAAUCUUCAAAAAUGCAAAUACUAAACAUGCAAUAAAAUCAACGGAGGAUAAAAUAUCAUACAUAAUAUCUUUUGACCGCAUCAGCAUGGAUAGCCAUUUCUGCCAUUUUGCCUUCAAUAUCUGUCAAAUAUAAGGCUCCAUUGGGCAACACUUUCUUUACAAUGAAGGGACCUUGCUAGUUUGGGGAGAACUUGCCUUUCGCUUCAACCUGAUGGGAAGGAUACACUUUAAUACCAUCUGACCAACAUCAAAAUGCCUGGGUCGUACCCUUUUGUUAUAUGCUCGAGCCAUUUUCUUCUGAUACAAUUGGCCAUGACAUACCGACGUUAGCCUUUUUUCCUCAAUCAAACUCAAUUGUUCCAGUCGGGUUUUGACCCACUCGUCAUCAUCAAUCGCUGCCUCCAUAAUGACUCGAAGAGAGGGAAUUUCAACUUCUGCAGGAAUGACUGCUUCUGUCCCAUACACUAAUAAAUAUGGAGUUGCCCCUGUUGAAGUGCGAACAGUAGUGCGAUAACCUAGCAAUGCAAACGGCAACUUCUCAUGCCAUUGUCUAGACCCUUGUACUAUUUUCCGCAGUAUCUUCUUGAUAUUCUUAUUGGCGGCUUCCACAGUACCAUUGGCCUACGGACGAUAUGAAGUAGAAUUUUGAUAUGCGAUGUUAAACUGUCGGCACACUUCUUGCAUCAAAUGACUAUUGAGAUUGGCAGCAUUGUCCGUAAUAAUCAUCUUUCGAAUUCCAAACCUACAAAUGAUGUUGGCAUGAACAAAAUCUACCACCGCUUUCUUUGUUACUGAAUUGAAAGUUAUUGCUUCUACCCACUUUAUAAAGUAAUCAAUGGCCACCAAAAUGAAUCUAUGACCAUUUGACGCUUUCGGUUCAAUCGGUCUAAUCACGUCCAUCCCUCAAGCUACAAACGGCCAUGGAGCAGCCAUUGCGUGCAACUCAGUAGGAGAAGAAUGUAUCAGAUCACCGUGUACUUGACAUUGAUGACACUUUUGAACAAAUCAAAUAGAAUCUCUCUCCAUAGUAAGCCAAUAAUAACCUGCUCGAAGAAUCUUCUUUGACAAGACAUAAUCAUUCAUAUGCGGCCCGCAUACUACAGAUUGUAUUUCAACCAUGAUCGUCGAGGCUUCUCUUGCAUCUACACACCUCAAAAGUCCCAGAGCUAGGGUUCUCUUGUAUAAGAUUCCCCCACUUAAGAAAAAUCCGCUAGCCAAACGCCUAAUAGUCCUCUUUUGACCACUGGUGUCAUGUGACGAGUAGUCUCCUGAUUGAAUGUAUCGCUUGAUAUAAAAAAACCAAGGUUCGCCAUUGAGCUCUUCUUUAAUUGCAUUAUAAUAAGCGUGUUGAUCACAACUCUGGAUAUGUACUAGAUCGAUGUAGGCUUUAUCACGAUGUUGGAGUAUUGAAGAUAGAGUGGCUAAAGUAUCAGCAAUCUCAUUAUAAAUCCUCAGAAUAUGCCUAAAUUUCACUGAUACAAACCGUCGACAUAACUUCUACAAGCAUUGUCGAUACGGUAUGAGCUUCAAAUCUCGCAUCUACCAAUCGCGUUGGAUUUGAUGGACGAGCAAAUCUGAAUCCCCCAACACUAAUAGCUCCUGGACUCCCAUAUUGAUAGCUAACUUCAAACCAAGAAUGCAAGCUUCGUAUUCUGCCAUAUUAUUGGUACAAUAAAAUCAAAGUUGUGCUGUUACCGGGAAAUGUUACCCCGCUUCAGAGAUAAGAACUGCACCUACUCCUACUCCUUUCAUGUUGACAGCUCCAUCGAAGAACAACUUCCAACCUGGAUCCGCAUCUAUAACGACUUCAUCGACACACAACACUUCUUCAUCAGGAAAAUAUGUCUUUAAUGGCUCGUACUCUUUAUCGAUAGGAUUCUCAGCAAGAUGAUCUGCCAAGGCUUGGGCUUUCGUGGCUGUUCGAGUCACAUAUACAAUGUCGAACUCGGUAAGCAAUAUUUGCCACUUUGCCGAUCGACCUGUUGGCAUAGGUUUCUGAAAAAUAUACUUCAAAAGUUCCAUAUGGGAGAUGAGAUAAGUAAUGUAGGAAGAGAGAUAAUUCUUCAACUUCUCCGCUACCCAAGUUAGGGCACAACACGUCCUUUCAAGAAGAGUAUACCCGGCCUCAUAUGUGGUGAACUUCUUGCUAAGAUAAUAAAUAGCCUGCUCUUUCUUGCCUGUGACAUCAUGUUGACCCAGUACACAACCAAACGAAUUGUCCAUGACUGAUAAAUAUAAGAUCAAAGGCCUACCAGGCUCCGGUGGUACCAGCAUGGGCGGAUUUGACAAAUAUCUUUUGAUUUUGUCGAACGCUUCCUGGCAUUCUUCAGUCCAUUCUACCGCAACACUCUUUUUCAGCAACUUGAAUAUGGGAUCACAAGUGGUUGUGAGUUGAGCAAUAAACCUGCUGAUGUAGUUCAGUCUACCAAGCAAACUCAUUACCUCCGUCCUAUUCUUGGGCAGGGGCAAAUCCUGAAUGGCUUUGAUUUUUGAGGGAUCUAAUUCAAUUCCCCAACGGCUGACUACAAACCCCAACAGCUUUCCAGACGGAACUCCAAAUACAUAUUUUGUCGGUUUGAGCUUGAGAUUAUACCUACGAAGCCUUUCAAAGAACUUUCUUAAAUAUUUAACAUGGUCAGCCUGACUUUUUUACUUAAUAAUCACAUCAUCCACGUAGACCUCAAUCUCCUUAUGCAUCAUAUCAUGAAACAUAGUGGUCAUGGCUCUCAUGUAUGUUGCUUCAACAUUCUUCAAACCGAACGUCAUCACUCAAUAACAAUAGGUCCCCCAUGGUAUGAUAAAAGAUGUCUUCUCCACGUCUUCAUCAUCCAUAAUGAUUUGGUAAUAUCCGGCAUAGCAAUCCACAAAAGAGGCAACCUCAUGUUUAGCGCAGUUGUCCAGCAAAAUAUGGAUGUUGGGCAGCGAAAAAUCAUCUUUCGAACUUGCUCUGUUCAAAUCACGGUAAUCAACACAUACUUGAAUUUUGCCAUCUUUCCUUGGGACAGGAACAAUAUUUGAUAACCACGUGGGAUAGCGAGCCACUCGAAUUACUUUGGCUUCAAGUUGUUUCAUGAUUUCCUCUUUGAUUUUAAUACUUACAUCAGUUUCAAACUUCCAUAACUUAUGUUUGAUAGGAGGAAAUGUGGGAUCAGUUUGUAAUUUAUGAGCCACUAAUUCAGUGCUUAAACCAGGCAUAUCAUGAUAAGACCAUGCAAAAACAUCCUUAUAAUCAAUUAAUGCUUGAAUCAUUCCAUCUUUUAGCUUUGGCAAAUCAUGUACACUAAUUUUAGUUUCCCUAACAUAUUCUUGAUUCCCUAGAUUUAUUGGCUCAGUCUCAUUCAAAUUAGGAUUCGGUUUGUCUUCAAACUGUUCCAACUCUUUGCUUAUUUCUUCUAGUACUUCUUCUUCAUCAUAUUCCCUAUCCUGUUUCAUUACAUCUUAAUUAGUUUGGAUUUUAAGAUCAGGCUGAAAAUUUUGCAUGCAUGUCAUGUCAUUAGAAUCAGCAUAAAGAGAAUUGUAUAAAAAAAGAAACAAAUAAAAUAUAUUAGACACGAAACAAAAGGGAUAUUGCAUUUCAUUAAAAGAAAAGAUAGAAGGGUUUAAACAUAGAUGCUAACAUAACAUAGGCAAAGGCCCCGACUAUGCCCCGUACCUUCAACAGGUAAUUCAUCGUCAGAGAAGCUGAUCCGAUUGACCUCAAAGAUUUUUCUGACCAUCUUCUCAAGCUGAUUUACUGUAAUCUCCCUAGGAACAUAUGCUUCAUUUAAUACCUUCAGUAUAAUAUCACGAUGUUCCUUGGAACGCAACAACAAAGAUAAGAGGGAAAUUUGAGCAGGGGUUUUAUUCAACUCGUCUAUUAUUUGAUACUCUGGCAAUUUCAUCUUUUUCAAAAAUUCUUUGGCAUCUUCUUCGGUGACAGGCUUUUUAAUAGAUGAAGGUCCACUCACAAUUGGCUUGGACUUUCUUAAACUUUCAGGCACAAAGCAUCUUCCUGAUCGAGUCAAACCCCCUACCUCAUCUAUAUCUUCCACUACUUCCUUCCCGUGAUAGGUCAUCACUGUCAAGAUGGGCUUACUCGGUGCUCCUAUCACCGUCAACUUAGGUUUAUACUGACUUAAAUCAACAUACCUUAUGGCACCUUGUACUGUGAUCAGUGGUUUCUUUGCGCUUUCUGGGGCUUUAUCUUCUCUCAUUCCUUUCUGGUUCAAUGACAUUGCUUUCAAAGACUCUGAUACAUUCGUCGAUUUCUCCUCACUGGUUUGUCUCUUGACAAUAAGCUUAUAAUACCUUGAUGAUUCUUUCCCAUCAUAUAUCAAUUCUAACAUAUUUGUUUCAACGAGGGUUGGCAGCGAAUUCUAGUUAAUAUUCGGAACCUCCGGGGCCUGGACCAGCAUUUGAUUUGUGUCAAUUAAAUCUUGGAUAGCUCUCUUUAAAUGCCAGCAUUUCUAGAUAUCGUGGCCUGGCAUGUCAGAACAGUAUGCAUACCUCAAAUAAUAAUCGUGAUUCCUCGGAGGUGGAUUUGUAAGCCUUCUUUGAAUUGGGCUUAAGACCUUCAUCUUUCUCAACCUAUCAAAUAAGCUAGCAUAUGACUCCCCAAGAGGUGUGAACUAAUUUUUGACCGCCUUAUCUUUCUUGUACUCGGGCCUGGGUUGGAAACCGGGUCUGGAGUGGUUUUGGUAAUUUACUGGAGCUGAUAGGUAAUUUUAUGGAGCUUGCGUGCGCCAUUGCGGGUAAGAAGGGGUUUAGGCAUAUGGCUGCGCGUUAUAUACUGGGUACGAGGGUGGUGGAAUGGAAUAUAAAGGGUUUUGUAUAGGGUAGUAAUAGUGGGGAGGAAUAUAUAGAGCUUGGGCGUAGACUUGGGCUUGGACUUGGGCUUGGGGAUAGGGGCGAGGCCAUUUUUUGGGAUAGGAAUGGGUUUCAGCUACGACAGUCUCCACGUCCUCUUUCUUCUUUUUACCUCCGAAUGCACCAGAUCCACCUUGAAUUGCUUGUGUGGUGGCUUUCAAUGCGGCAAAACUCACUAUUCGGCCGGUCUUGAUUCCGUCCUCUAUCAUCUCCCCCAUUUUGAGGACUUCAAUAAAAGACUUUCUCAUUGCCGGAAGUAAAUGUUGAAAAUAGGUCUCAUCCUGUGCCUGAAUGUAAAUCUCUACCAACUUACUUUCCUUCAUUGGAGGCUUUACCCUGGCAGCCUGUUCACGCCACCUUAUCUCGUAUUCCCUAAAACCUUUAGUGCUUUUAUUCUUCAUGUUGACCAAGGAUUUUUUGUCCAAAAUCAGGUUGACGUUAUACUGAAAAAGUUGCACAAACUUAGAAGCUAAGUCAUCCCAGUUGUUUCACUUGUCGAUAUCUUGAUUGACAAACUAUUCUGAAGCCAGAUCGGAAAGACUCUCGCCAAAGAAAGCCAUGAGCAGCUCUUCUCUUUCUCCUACAACCCUCAAUUGGUUGCAAUAACGUCUCAAGUGUGCCACGGGAUCACCGUGCCCAAUAUACUUCUCAAACUUGGGCAUUUUAAAACCGAUGGGAAGGUUGACGUCUGGGAACAUGCAAAGAUCUUUAUAGGAAACACUCUUAUAACCUCCGAUUCCCUGCAAAUUCCUCAUGGCCUGUUCUAAACUUUUCAACUUUCGCUCUAUGACUUCUUGUUCCUCUGUUGUGAUACGUUUCUCUGUAUCAAAUGGAAAUACAAGUGGCUGAGUGUACCCAUACGGUUUAUUCAUUCUCAAAGUAGGCUCUGGGGAAUAAUACUGACUAUCUGGAACCUUCAAUACUGGCUCACUGGCAGACCGAGGAAACCCCAUUGUCGGACGCAUAACAUAUGUGGGAGCUUCAGGUGGUGGCGGAGCCACGAACACCGUCGUGAUCGGUGGCGCCGGCUGAGCAGCGGGUCUUAGUUAGGGAGCUGCCAAGGGCACACUAGAGUGCCAGGAUAAUAAUGUCGCAGAGUGAAUCCUGACGUGUGUUCAGGUGACUCAGUGGGAGCAGAGAAUUGGGCCUGAGAGAGCGGUGGGCAAUUAGAGAUACUCCCAAGACCUUUAGGGAGCGGAGGAGGAGGCAUGCCACUAGCCCAUGCUCGGUGCAAAUCUAUCAGUUAUUGCCUGAGCCUUACUACCUUAUCAUUGCGUUCUGAGCUUUCUUCCCUAGGAUCCUGAUCUGGGUCAAUGAGAGAAUUUUCAAUCUCCCUGCUAGCCAUGGUGGGCUUUGAUUUUAUCUAGUGAAGUACGGGUGACUAGCCAGAGUGCUACAAACCUACCACUGUUAUCUGAAAGGACAUGCUCACCAAAGACAACAUCCGUUAGGAUUAGGUCACACAACAAGCAUGGGAAUCACAUUGGUAAAAUUGCCCUAGAUUCAUGUUCAUUUCUACCAACCUUUGAGGGUAUCGAGGUCAUUUUAACAUCAUCCCAAUUUUCAUCUACACUUCCUCUAAACACACUUUUUUUCGCCCUCAUUUCCAUCUCUCUUCUUUUUUUCAUAUCAGUCUCUGUUAUUUUCCUUUCUUGUCUUAUCAUCCUUUCUUUCUUUUCUUCUCUCGCUAUCUGCCUUCAUUUUAUCAUUCUUUAUGGCUUUUGUUUUUCUUUAAAAGAGGAAAAAUAAUGAAAAACAAUGAAACAAAAUGAUUAGAUCGAACCCAAAAGUAGGUUGCCUACGUAUCAUGUUGUACAUGAAUCGGAUCUUGCGUAGUUCGGGAUGCAUAUGCAUAAACAUCACACAAUUGAAGGUUUUUUUUAUACGAAAAAUGAAAACAAAUAAACAAAAGAAAGACGUAACAUCAUAACAUUUGGAUGAAAGAAACAACAAAAACAUACAACGAAUUUAGGACCACUUUAAAACUAAACAACAAAUACAAAACAACAUUCUAAACCCCUAACGACAUACGUGCAAUUACUAAUAAAGACCCAAAUAUCAAAAACAACUUUACUCUGACUUAAAAUAGAAACCACCCUACAGUGACAGAAACAUAAAAGACUCAAAACUACAUAAAGAUAAAUUCUCUUUCAAACUGGUGCUCUGUGUGAUGUCCCCGGCUGAGAUGAACCCGUCUGUGAAGUCCCCUUUUUUUCACUCAGACUUUGCAACAUAUCCUGCAACGACGUUUUGAUACCUGGGAACAAACUUCUCACCCGUAUCCCCGCCUCUUGGAGAUUACACCCGCAAAGGUUUUUCUGACACCCAUCCACAAUUAUGAUCAAACGUGACAACUGAACUCUCAAAAACUCCACCUUGGCACCCGGAUCUUCCUGCUCAUCAUCCUCUACCAUGAUUGCUUCCUGUAUUAAGGGUCUACUAAUGCCACGGGGCAGAGAUUGUAGCCAGAUUUCACAGUUUUGAGUGCAUCCUGGAUUUUUCUCGAGAGUACCGACACCUAGCUUUAUCGCGUUAUUCCAGAAUUGCUUAUAUUUGCUUUCCCCCACGGCUUGGUUUUUAAAGUACUAUACAUUCUUUAGAAGGUCCAUUAUUGGGGGACGUCUUGCAUCCUACCCAACUGACGCAUCACCUUUCUUGGAUUGUAAGGCCUAGUGCAGUUAAGUCCUAUCAAAACUAGAAAGAUUUGCAUUUGAGGUCCAAUCAAGAUUUUCUUAGGACGAAACCACAUAUAGCACCAAAGAAUGUUGUUCGGAGUUCUUGAUUCGAGAAAUUCGAUCCAGGAAUUGACUCUCAUAGGAAAAGAAAAUUUGUCAAAACGCAUUCUCUCUUACAUGGCUUGCACUCGAUCAUUCAGACAACGGUCAAUCACAUCUGUUUUAAUCAAAGAAGGCGUAUGCAAGUGCUCCAUCAUCCGCAACUGCAAUAUCAGAUUACUCCCCUCAAAAAAUCGUACCCCUCAUUUUACUUCAGUUAAAGCCUUAUAUAUUUCUGUUAAGAUCAUUGGUACAAUGGUGACCCCAUUUUUUUUCUCGAAUAAAGCUAUCACCACUGAUUGUAGACGAGUAUUGAUACACCUCUCAUCUAACGGGAACACUAAGAUGCCCAACAAAGCUAGACAGCAAACCUCAAGACGACGUUGUUCCCAAAUUUUUUUGGUAGUACAGAAUUCAUCCCAAAAGAAGUCGAAACCCUCUAAGGACCCAAAUCUAGCAAAGAAAUAGUCCAAGGAAAUCCAAAAUUGUUUGAGACAUCCCAGAUGCUUGUUAUAUUUUAAUCCACAGAGUCGAAGGAAUUUCUUACGAGUAUGAUUGCGGGCUAAAAUCAUCUGCUGACCCAUAUAAGUCAACCAAAACAAACGAGACACUUCUGCCAGGGUAGGAGUCAAUUCACAACUUCCGAACCUAAAUACCAAAUUAUUUGGAUCCCAAAAAUUCAACGCAGCUUCUAUUAGAUCCGGAUGAGGUGUGAGAUCCAUGAGUGCUACAAGAUUGCCUAACACUUUCCUCACUUCAUGAUUUUCAGAGUAAUUGAACGUUCCCCACCACUUGAUCAACUUUUUGGGUACCUUGACAACCAUAAGAACUCUAGACUUUGUGGACAGAUCCAUCCUGUAGUAACAGAUAAGAAAUUAUCUCAAAAAAUUGCUAAGAGCAAAAGGUUCCCAACCAAUGGGAAUUUGAUGCGGACAUACGUCGAUGGGACAGACCGCUUCAUGACUCCAAAUCUCCGAACAAUAACACUGAAUAAAAUCAGCCUACUUGGAUAACAACUCUAGGUUACGGGGUAAAAGACCUAGCCUAAGACUAAGACGAUGGCCAAAAUAAAGAUUGCCGGACCCACCGAGGGUUGCCUACGUAUCCCGCCCCGAGAGAGGGGAAUCAGGUAUGCAUAGUUCAUCCAAAUUGGACAAAUAAAGAUUAACUAAUAGACUGACCCUAACUUAAGAGACACAACCAAAGACCAAAAAAAAAAGGGCAGCCCGAUGCACUAAAGCUACCGCUAUGCGCGGUGUCUGGGGAAGGGGCCCACCACAAGGGCGUAUCGUACGAAGCCUUACCUUGCAUUUCUGCAAGAGGCUAUUUCCAAGGCUUGAACCCAUGACCUCCUGGUCACAUGGCAGCAACUUUACCAGCUACUCCAAGGCUCCCCUUCAAAAACCGAUGAAUUAAAAAAAAUUGGGUUUUUAAUUUGACACCAACGACUAUGAAAGAAAAAUCUUUUUUGAAAUUUUCGAAUUAUGAAUACGUGGUAAAGGAAUAAAAGGAUUUUUUUUUUUUUGCAUUUUCCUUUAUAAAACCUCCUAUUGUAAAAAAAAUCUUUUCUUUUUGAAAUUUUUGAAUUGUGAAAAACAAAAGCCAUAAAGAACUCUAAAAACUACAAAUCUCUUUUUUGGACUUUUUUUUUUCACACACUUUACUUCUAACACAUGCAUUACCCCACAUCAGUCUGUCAAAUGACCACAUUACCCUCAAAGAUGCAACAUUUAGCACGUAGGAAUGCUUUAGAGGUAAGUCUCCUACAAAGGACCAAAUGGGUCCCGCUAGGUCUUAAUAUGAUGCACAUAAGCAUGAUCUAAAGGCUGACCUACGCUGACGUUCACUAACAAGGCCGUUCAGGGGAGCAUAUAAUCGAUAAUGGCUGCUUAGCUUUCCACCUACUCCAUACAUCCAACGGCUCCCCCCUAAAAUAAAGGUGACUCAACUAGAGUUCGUACACACGACGUGUGCUCCGAGACUUAUUGCGGAAAGAAUGACUCAGGUUAUGCACAUGAUGUCAGAUAUAAAAGCGGUACACAUAGGAUAAAUACUGUAAACAAAGAGCACGAAAACACACAAAAAUGAAAACACAAACAAAAAUCGCAAACAAUGCUUAUACACUCGUAAUGCCAAACAAAGCCGAUACGACUCCAAAAAAAGCUUGGAUUCUGAAAUUGUCCCCAGCAGAGUCACCAGAGCUGUCACACCCCCUUUUUCAUACUCCAAAAAGAUUCGUUUUAAGUUCAAAAAGGUUUUAUUGUUAAAGUGAAAAAAUGAAAAAAAAAAUCGAAAAGGACCUUUUAUAUUCAAAACUUAGAGUUGCCACUUGGCAUAAAUACGGUGUGCCAAGUCACCUUUUGGAAAAUCCUUUUGAAAAUGGUUUGACUCUUUUAAAACUGAUUUGCGAACAGAGAUUCUGGCUAAGGAACUCUGUUGACCGAGGGGAAGGUGUUAGGAACCCUUCGAUCCCGUGGUUCGACCACGGUCGCUUGGUAGAGAGUAUCAGCUAAUUUUAAACACUACGAAUGUAUAAACCACACAAACAAACAUCAAAUAAAUCAAACAAAAUUUAAAAUCCAAAAUAAUGUCCAGUCCGAGUUAUACAGUCCCAAAAAAUAGAAAAUUACAAAAAAAAUAUAAAUCCUAUUCUAAACUACUCCUAGACUAAGCUCCACUGGCUCACCCAUUGUCUCGGGCCUUCAUUAAGCGCCGUCUUCUAGUACAACUUUCUCGGGGCAUUCCCCAGAUAAAAUGAUACAGAUACUUCGAGACAUUCCCCGGCCAAAUGAGUAUAAUUGAGUCGAAUACGAUAAUAUAAAACUAUCUCAACACAGAUCUCAAACAUUCAAUCAACUCACAAUCUCUAGAUUUGCCUACCCGACCUAUGUCUUGCCUAUUCUAAUCGGCGUAUCUUGAUACUACCAAAUUCAAUUAACGUUCAUUUCAAGUCAAACGACUAAUGAAUCAAACUAAUCAAAAGUCACCAAUUAUAUCAAGUUUUCAAUUCCCGCCCCACUUAUUCCAAGUGACUUCAAAUCUUUCAAUUACUUCAUUCAUGUGAAUCAAUUAAUCAAUAUCAACCACAGUAAUUACGGUUGCUCAAACACAAUAUCGAAACAUAUCACCAUAUCACAAUCAUCAACCAAACACAAUAUUCAACUCCAACACAUCAAAUAUAGUAAACAUUAAAUAAAAGAGGGGGAAUAGAAUUGGACCUUUAGUGUAUAUUUGACGAUUUACGAAGAGAAAUAAGAGUCGCUCCGAUAACCUCAAAGAACACCAGUAAAACCUCUACUCUCCAAAUCACACGAAUGACAUUCCCAGAAUAACGAUGACCCCAAUUUCAAUUGGAACAGAACAAAUUCCCGAACAGACUUGAUGAACAACAAAAUCGGGAUUACGAAGUCUAGCCCACACCAAUGAUACCCACCAGGAGCAAUGAAUUCCUAAAACCUGUUUUUGGCGACGGAACAUAAAACUCAGAAGAACCCCAGAACCUCGAUACGCGACAGAACCAAAAGAAUAAGAUAACUUGAGCUACGGUUUGCUCAAAUGAACAAGAACGGACAAAAACCACUCGGAUUCAGGCGCUCUUAACCUUUUCCGGUGGAAUCUCGACUAAAACUCCAAGAAAACUAAGAAAAACUUUGUGGGAUUACGGGACUAGGACGGGAUUUGAACUCUUAGUACCUUAAUCUGACUGAAAUAAUAAUCGAUUCCGGCGAAGGAUUCGCCGAAAAAGGCUUAGAUCUAGCCUAUUGUCGCCGGAACAAUGACCCAAACGAAAAACGGUGCUCCUUUCUCGAUCUGCUGAUUUUUCUUUUUGUUUUUCCUCUCUCCCUCGAUUUUUCUUUAACUCCGAUCUCUCUUUCGUCUCCCUCCUCUAUAUCUCUCAGAGUGUUUCUGUGUAGGGGUUUUGGAGAAGAAGGUUUGUGUGUUUUGGUGAGAGUAAAAAAGGGAAUAUUUGGUUUCCUUUGGAGAAGAAAGCCAAGAAGAAAAAAUGUUUCUCCCCUCCACC